UGAGCAAUCUGCCCUUCUCUUCGGAAUAAGCGUUGGAAACGACGUCUAAUGCCGAAUACGACCUCCUUUCGCAUGAUCGGAGGUGGAAAGCUCCGGCGGAGAAGGAUGAGCUCGCGGCCUAUCAGCUAGUUGGUGUGGGUAAUGGCCCACCAAGGCGACGACGGGUAGCCGGCCUGAGAGGGUGACCGGCCACACGUGGGACUGAGACACGGCCCAGACCUCCGUACGGGAGGCAGCG
rnacentral:rRNA from 1 species